AUGAGACUAAAGUUAAACCCCUCAAAUAUAAAUUAUAGUUCCACUUCUUCACAAUAAUGCACUCAAAUAUUAUACAAACGCCUAUUAAGUUUCGAAUUAUAAUUAAAAAAAUUUGUGAAAAGUUAAGCUAUUGAACUAGCAAAUUGUUUUGGGGAAGUGGCUGAAGAAGGGGGCUAGAUAUGUGCUGAAAACUCAAAUCAUCAAAAUUGUAUUUCGUUGUAGAAAAAAGUACGUAGUAUAAUUUUUUUGGGUCCUUAUGAAAUCAAUAAUUUGGGGUCAAUUUAUAAAGAC
rnacentral:lncRNA from 1 species